AGGAAGGAGCGGCGAUAGGAAGGAGUGGACGCUGUACCCUGGUCACAUGAGCAGAAGCGGAAAUACGUAGAGAAAGCGGCAGUCGUACCACGUCCGGAAAAGUUGGGCUGCAGAUCCGUUUGUUUUUUAAGGUUGUUGCCGUUUGAGUUCCUGUCCUGUCUGCCUUCAAUGAUGAACAAUGAUGUGAGUCUUUGCUUCAUUGGCGCUGAUGAUGAAUAAAGGAAACAGGAUAGAAAAGAGGCAGCCACUGUUUAAAAAAAAAAAAAAAGUCAACUUUAUAAGGCAUGACUUUAGGAAACAGUAUUAUAAGCCUCACAUCUCUUCACUUCUGAAUUUCUAAGUAUUUUCCUCCAGGAGGCAGCAUAGAAGAUUUUUUUUUUAUAUUUUCAUCUUAAUAAUGACAAAUGUCACUUAAUAUUAACAACAACAACAAAUUUUCCUGAUGGUCAAAUGAUGUAACAUGCUGGUACAGAUGCAGAACAAUAAAAGAUACUUGGAACAU
ensembl:antisense Gm26787 predicted gene, 26787